rnacentral:rRNA from 1 species
CCUACGUGAGGCAGCAGUGAGGAAUAUUGGUCAAUGGGCGGAAGCCUGAACCAGCCAAGUAGCGUGCAGGAUGACGGCCCUACGGGUUGUAAACUGCUUUUAUACGGGAAUAACGCGCCUUACGUGUAGGUCUUUGCAUGUACCGUAUGAAUAAGGACCGGCUAAUUCCGUGCCAGCAGCCGCGGUAAUACGGAAGGUCCGGGCGUUAUCCGGAUUUAUUGGGUUUAACGGGAGCGUAAGCCGCAUGUAACACGUGCUGUGAAAUGUCCGGAUUCAACCCGGGCCUUGCAGCGCGAACUGUCGUGCUUGAGUCAGCGGCAAGCAGGCGGAAUUCGUCGUGUAGCGGUGAAAUGCUUAGAUAUGACGAAGAACCCCGAUUGCGAAGGCAGCUUGCUGCAGCGGAACUGACGCUGAUGCUCGAAAGCGCGGGUAUCGAACAGGAUUAGAUACCCCUGUAGUC